GUCCCUGUAGUGUAAUGGAUAUUACGUUGGACUUCGAAUCCAAAGGUCGUGGUUUCGAAUCCCACCUGGGUUG